rnacentral:lncRNA from 1 species
CAUCUACCAUUCCUCCGGGCCUUGAAGUCUGCCCUCAAAAGCUCCAGACAAGAUGCAUGAGAAAAUAGGCCUGAAAAAGAGAAACCUACGACACCCGAAAACCGGCCUACAUCCCCGUAAUAAAAUCCCCUUUAUGCUUAAGUACACAACUCCCCCAUUACUAUUAGGAAAAUUUAAGAGGUAUUACCAUAGUGAGUUACAGGAGGAAAAAAAACCCCACGACAGUGCCGACCUCACGGAUUUUUACCACACCACUGGCUCUCCCUGCGGGGCUCGUACACUGGGCUGCUGCUCUANNAUCCUCUAUCUAUCCUCCACUCCGCCUGCUCGCCGCCUCCGCGUGGUUGCCAAGCCAAGCCGCACGCUAGCUUCACCUCCAAAUCGUUAGGGCUCGCUCCUUCUUCCUAGCUUCCUUCACCAAGUCGCACUGGCUCCCGGGCUUCUCUUUCCUAUCUUCACGAACUGCUGCUGGCUCCUCAGUCCUAGUUUUCACCGAACACUGGCUCCUGGAAUCCUGUCUGCGGCUCCUGUCUUCCUAGCUUCACUGAAUCCACUUCUGUGUAGCACCUGCGUCAGCUGUUAAUUAGCGCCUACUCGUCAGGAUUUAAACAUUCAUCUUAGCUCAAAGUCCAAUAACUCGAUGGUUAAUUCUUGCUCUUCCAUUUAAUUCACUUAUAAAGUCCUUUACAUUUUCCAAAGGAAACUACGCUACCGCAUUUAAGGCCUUUCAAAUUUUUAACUCUUCCAAAUACAUUCUUAGCUUUUAAGUUACUUCAGUCCCUUUAAGUAACUUUUUGCUAAGAUUUUAAACUGACUUUCUUCUAGUUUCCGGAUUUUCUUCUAAGUUGUUCCUGGUCUACAGUAGUUUUAAAAAACCCUCAUCUUCUGAGAUCUAACUUCCGCACCACCACAAAUAAGCUGAUGGGCUUUUACAAUAAAUUCCUAUCGGCUAUAAAAAUUUCCUCAGUUUUUGUUCCUGUAACUUAUCCAACAUUGAUUUUUAACUAUCUUCUAAAUUUCUGGACGUCUAUCUUGUAUGUUUGCGUCCAAUAGCUUUCUUUUCAUUCUAUCUUAAGCACUCGCCCGUAUUUUCAAUUUUCUCCUAGAUUUGUCUUUUUCUUCUGCCUACUUACUAGGCUCAGGUUUUCUGUCUUCUAAUACGUGUAUCUCUGUCUUCCCUAGUUUUUUCUUCUGCUUCCUGUACUUGUCUUCCGAAUUUUCCACUUCAAACUUCCAAUUUUCUUUCCUACCAUUCCUAAUACUUCCGUCAACUUUAGCCAAACAAAGCCUCAGUAUCAACUAGGCUUCAAAUGACGCCAUUUUUAUUGCGCCGAGAAUUUGCAGGCAUUAUUUCUGAAACCACCUUCAGUUAAAUCUUAAGAUGGCCUUUAUAGUAUAUAGUAUUUUAAUCAUCUACAACUCAACCUUUUAAAACGUUUAGGUUCGAUUUAUGUAACCCAACGUUUUAUGUUAAGGUAAAAGGUUGCCCUUCAACUUAAGGCUUAAGAAAAAAAAUCCAGACUUAGCAGUCCUAGCUCAGACAUUCUCUUAAAAUUUUCCACUCCAUGAAAAAUUUUCAGCUCAUAACUUCCAUCAGGUUCUAAAAUUAUCUUUUUUCUUCCCUCUUCCUUUCUCCAACUACUCUUUAAGUAAGUCUUCAUGUUUUCCCUAAAAUUUAUCUAAGAACUUAAUGCAAAGCAGUAUCUCCGUAUUCUCACUACUUACAAUCCCUAAAGAAACACACUAACGCCUAUCUUUUUUAAUAGAAAAACUUAUCUGCAGGCUCCUUAAGCAGCACCUCCAGCCUUAAAGCAGAUUCUGCGCUCGCUGCCUCAAUGCCUGUCGCUCAGUCCGCAGCAGUGUAUUUAUAGAGGAAGGACAACUCACACCUCCGGUAUUUAAUACUCCUCCGCCGCCUUUGUGAGGAAAGCAAAAAUAGUUCCUCUGAAGAUGUAAAAAUAGAAUCUCAUUUACAAGAGUUUUCUGGACUUUUCCUAACAGUUCAUCCAACUUGCUUGCAACCCCUAUACCUUGUACUUAUUAGCAAGUAGAUUUGAGCUGAAAAUUUGGGCAAAAACAAUGAAAAUCACAUCUAAAUAAACAUUGAAUAGCUCAUAAAAACUAAGCGCCGUUACAUGGGAAUGUUUCUAGUAGCUUUUAAAAUACUUUUCGUGUUUCCUUGGAGUAUAUUGGAUACAAGUCAGUGGUUUUGGAAAGAAGGUUAAACUAAGUUUCCUGACGGCCUUCCUUUCCAUUAUGUAACCGAACUUCAGCCUCACAACGACAGACCGCAGCCAUUUUAGAAGCCGUCAAGUUUUGGGAGGCACCCCCCCCCCCAAAAAAAAAGGUCUCAGGUCCUGCGAGGCGGUUUUGAUGUUUAUACCUCACCUGGCUCAUUUGGCCUUUUAUUCGUAAAAUAGUUACUCCGGGUUAUCCACUUAAGAAUUCUAAUUGUAGAAAUCCACUUCCGGAAAAUAUCUCAACAAAUAUCUCUCGUUUACUGUUGUCCCUGCAACAGAGCUGGACCCAUCUUGAAGGCUUAGAUUCAAAUCGUUAGGGUGGGGUUGUGUUACUUGGCUUUUGUUGUUGAUUUUGUAUUUACUAAAUACCAGCUAGACUCCUACACUUUUGGUAGCCUGUUUAGACAUAGCCUGGACUUUUUGUUCUUUCCAAACGCGUGCUGUUUCAAGUAUCCGGAANNNNNNNNNNNNNNNNNNNNNNNNNNNNNNNNNNNNNNNNNNNNNNNNNNNNNNNNNNNNNNNNNNNNNNNNNNNNNNNNNNNNNNNNNNNNNNNNNNNCGCGUGCUGUUUCAAGUAUCCGGAAAAGCCAACGGUUUCACCGUCAAAGACAGAGCGACCUUCACCUACCACUCGCGGAAGGGACGUGUUCUAAAAUGUUUGUGAACCUUAAGUGUUUACUACGUUUCGUUUUUUUUUUUUUUCCCCCCUACAGAUUUUGUAUUAUCUCUGGUUUGAUUCCCUUAAGACUUUUAAAAGUAGAGCACAAAGGGAAAUAACUUUUUCCUAAACCCAAAGCCUUUUCUUUCUGCAGGUUAAUCAGCAGUCCAUU